rnacentral:rRNA from 1 species
UAUGUGAUCGUCUCUCGCAUAUCAAUAAGCGGAGGAAAAGAAACUAACAAGGAUUCCCCUAGUAACGGCGAGUGAAGCGGGAAGAGCUCAAAUUUGAAAUCUUAAAGGGUUUCCCUUUACGAAUUGUAGUUUAAAGAAGUGUUUUCUGUUGAGGUUCUGGUAAAAGUUCUUUGGAAUAGGACAUCAUAGAGGGUGAGAAUCCCGUAUUUGACCUUUACUUUCAACUUUGUGAUACACUUUCAAAGAGUCGGAUUGUUUGGGAAUGCAGUCCAAAAUGGGUGGUAAAUUUCAUCUAAAGCUAAAUAUUGGCGAGAGACCGAUAGCGAACAAGUACCGUGAGGAGAAAGAUGAAAAGAACUUUGAAAAGAGAGUUAAACAGUACGUGAAAUUGUCAAAAGGGAAGCGUUUGACACCAGUGUUGUUUUUCUGAAAAUCAAUUAAAGAACUGUUUAUGCUAAGCUGUUUAGACUUUAUCAGCUAUCUGUUUAGUUUUGAGCUUUUCUUUAAUGCACUUUUCAGUUAACAAGUCAACAUCAAUUUCUUUUGCUGUAAAAAAGCUUGAGGAAGGUGGCUUGAGAUUCGUCUUAAGUGUUUAUAGCCUCUUGCCUAUGCAGUCGGAGAGAUUGAGGUCUGCAGCGUAGAUCCUUCGGGGCUAAAUGCAUUUGUGCUAAGUUAUAGCAUUUUAUAGACAACUUGUUGACUAUGAUUUGUCUUGUAGCUUACUCGCUUAUGUUAUUUUACCUACGCUUAGGAUGUUGAGUCGUAGAGCACGCAG